UGGAUGGGUAGGGUGGGUUUGUUUAUGCCUAUCUAUGGGUGUUUAAACCUUCAUUAACUUCAACAUUGAGGUCCCACUACCCUAGGAGGCACUUCGCCUCCCUGCCUCGUCACAUCUGUAGAGUGCUUCAGGGUGGUGCUGGUUCCUGGAGCCUUAGCUGAAGUCCUCCCUCCUCACCAACCUCACCUCACCUGUCUGUUCAGCAGAGCCAGAUCAUAAGUCCCAAACUGCCUUUUUUGUUUUAGCUGUGUGUGGUUGCAUAGUCAUCUGCAGAGUCUUCACGGCACAGAGGUCUCCAUGCACAGAGUGGAUGUCCUGAGACCCUCACUUAUCGUGGGGCAAUGGCCCUCACAUGCUAGAAGACCACACCGAGUAAGGCUAGGGGAGAUGGCUCAGCUCUUCUCUGACACUCUUGGGUCUGAGUUCACUGAGGUCCUGCCAUGAAAUCUCCCUUACCUGCGGCCUCCCUUGCCUAAGGCAGAGCCGUUUCCUUCAGGUACCACACAAGCAAUUUGCAGACCUGACUCAGAAAGUCCUCUUGGUUUGCAGGUGACCUCAAGGAAAUGCCUGGCGCAGCCUCUGGCAUUUCUCCACAGCCAGCUGCCUCAGUGGGGCUCAGAGGGUAGGGUCUGGACAGGUGUCUGGUGCAGGUCUCCUUGCGCCUCUGUACUCUGCGCUGGCACAUUGUCAUCCUGUCUCCGCCAGCCUGGACCAGCACCUCAGCUGUCCCCCUUGCACAUGCUCUGGCCUGACUUAAGAGUUAAGUGGUCAAGCCCCCAGCUCACUUCAGGUGGAUGGAAUUGGUUGUCCCCUCCUCUCUGGACCCCUGCCCACCCUCUGGUGGAGGUGCUAACUAGCAGGGACAUGGCACAGGACAGGGAGCUGGGUGCCAGAUGCUUGGGGUCUGUUCUUUGCCCCACGGCCCCUGGCAUCCCUUCUCAUGUUCCCGUUCUCUCAUCUCCCUCCCCUCCUCCAUGAUGGUGGCAUUCUGGCCUCACCUUCCUGAGUGGGCAUUCUGAGGGGAGAGGCCUUUGGGCCUCCACUUGCCUUGCUGUCCCUUGGUGGCCAGAGAGCCAGGAGUGCACGCUAUUGGUUUCGAAUGCACUUUCUGCUUGCAAUGCCUUGUCUGCAUUUCCUUCAUCCCAGGUCCCGCUUUAACGAACACCAUGUUUUUAGCAUGUUUUUAAAUAAAAACUGAUCAUGUGUCAAAA
rnacentral:lncRNA from 1 species